rnacentral:lncRNA from 1 species
CAAGAUACCUAUUCUAUGAACAAUGUCUUUCUGGAGGGGUAAAAUUUUCCAUUACAAGAUUUUAAGAGAGGCCAUUCAUUGUACUGUUCAAUUUGCGUUCAUUUUAAAAUUUGCCGCGCGAGUAUCUAUGUAGCGUCGAGUGGUCAUUGGUCAUCACAUUUCAUUUUCAUAACAUAACCGAUAACCUAAAAAUUUAGUAAAAAAGUAAAAAUUUUGAUUGGAAAAAAAUGCAUCGAUAACUGUCGAUAAGGGGGUGUGGGAAAUGGAAAUUAGUGGCUUUUUUGCUGGACUGUCUGCUAGUUUUUGCUCUGGGCUCUGGCUAGAUCUCUUGUUUAAACAAUUUUAAUCAGCUGAAAGUGACCUACAAAAAAAAACCAAGAAGGAAAUGUAUAGCCUUGUGGCUAUGAAAGGCAAAAGAGAGAUAUAAAAA